rnacentral:rRNA from 1 species
GAACGCUGACAGAAUGCUUAACACAUGCAAGUCGAUGGGGAAGUGGUGCUUGCACCAUGGUAACCAUGGCGGACGGGUGAGUAACGCGUAAGGAACUUACCUGCGGGACCGGGAUAACAGCAGGAAACUGCUGACAAGACCGGAUAAGGUCAUUAAGCUGCAUAGCUUAGUGAUGAAAGGAGACGCCUGCGGAGAGCCUUGCGUCCUAUUAGCUAGUUGGAGGGGUAACGGCCCACCAAGGCGAAGAUAGGUAGCCGGCCUGAGAGGGUGGACGGCCACAAGGGGACUGAGAUACGGCCCUUACUCCUACGGGAGGCAGCAGUGGGGAAUAUUGGACAAUGGGGGCAACCCUGAUCCAGCAAUUCUGUGUGCACGAAGACGGUUUUCGGAUUGUAAAGUGCUUUCAGCAGGGAAGAAGGAAGUGACGGUACCUGCAGAAGAAGCGACGGCUAAAUACGUG